rnacentral:rRNA from 1 species
AGUGAACGCUGGCGGUAGGCCUUACACAUGCAAGUCGAACGGUAACGGGGUAUGGGGUUGCGACGAGGGGCGAAGGGGGGAGGAAGAGAGCGGAACGCGCCCGAACGUAGGGGUUAAUGGGGGGAAAGGUUGGGUAACUCCCGAUACUACCGCCGGAGGACAACGGGUGAACGCAAGGGCUUUCGGGGCCUUGCGCGCUUGAGUGAGCCGAUGGCGGAUUAGGUAGUUGGUGGGAUAAAGGCUUACCAAGCCGACGAUCUGUAGCUGGUCUGAGAGGAUGAUCAGCCACACUGGGACUGAGACACGGCCCAGACUCCUACGGGAGGCAGCAGUGGGGAAUUUUGGACAAUGGGCGCAAGCCUGAUCCAGCCAUGCCGCGUGCAGGAUGAAGGCCUUCGGGUUGUAAACUGCUUUUGUACGGAACGAAAAGCCUUCUUUUAAUACAGGAGGGUCAUGACGGUACCGUAAGAAUAAGCACCGGCUAACUACGUG